CGCUGGCGGCGUGCUUAACACAUGCAAGUCGAACGGUAAGGCCCUUCGGGGUACACGAGUGGCGAACGGGUGAGUAACGCGUGAGUAACCUGCCCUUCACUCUGGGAUAACAGUUGGAAACGGCUGCUAAUACCGGAUAUUCAGCUCCUGUCGCAUGGUGGGGGUUGGAAAGUUUUGGUGGUGGAGGAUGGGCUCGCGUCCUAUCAGCUUGUUGUGGGGUGAUGGCCUACCAAGGCGUCGACGGGUAGCCGGCCUGAGAGGGCGACCGGCCACAUUGGGACUGAGAUACGGCCCAAACUCCUACGGGAGGCAGCAGUGGGGAAUAUUGCACAAUGGGCGGAAGCCUGAUGCAGCAACGCCGCGUGCGGGAUGACGGCCUUCGGGUUGUAAACCGCUUUCAGCAGGGACGAAGCGUGAGUGACGGUACCUGCAGAAGAAGCACCGGCUAACUACGUG
rnacentral:rRNA from 1 species